UGAUAUCACUCUGCAGUGUAGUCUAAACAAAGAGUUUCCGUUUUUUAAUCCGUCCAAAUUGGUGAUGUCUUGCUCAUGCGUAUCAUCCAUCUGGAAGAAAUGCCGGUAGAGACACCAAUUCCGGCGAUGGAUUAGAGGACAUCUAUUGAAGGGUUACUGUGAAAACCGUGCAGGCGUGUAUUUAGUCCCACAUCGAUUACUCGCUGGAUAGAUAUUGGGUACUUAUACAGAAUCAAAAAAAUCCAAAU
rnacentral:lncRNA from 1 species